rnacentral:tRNA from 1 species
GAGGGUAUAGCUCAAUGGUACAGUGUGUGUCUAGGAUGCACGAGGUCCUGGGCUCAAACCCCACUACCUCUG